AUUGAACGCUGGCGGCAGGCCUAACACAUGCAAGUCGAGCGGGGUUUUCGGACCUAGCGGCGGACGGGUGAGUAAUGCGUAGGAAGCUGCCCGAUAGAGGGGGAUACCAGUUGGAAACGACUGUUAAUACCGCAUAAUGUCUACGGACCAAAGUGUGGGACCUUCGGGCCACAUGCUAUCGGAUGCGCCUACGUGGGAUUAGCUAGUUGGUGAGGUAAUGGCUCACCAAGGCGACGAUCUCUAGCUGGUUUGAGAGGAUGAUCAGCCACACUGGAACUGAGACACGGUCCAGACUCCUACGGGAGGCAGCAGUGGGGAAUAUUGGACAAUGGGCGCAAGCCUGAUCCAGCCAUGCCGCGUGUGUGAAGAAGGCCUUCGGGUUGUAAAGCACUUUCAGCGAGGAGGAAGGGGUGUGUGUUAAUAGUACACACCUUUGACGUUACUCGCAGAAGAAGCACCGGCUAACUCUGUGCCAGCAGCCGCCGUAAUAC
rnacentral:rRNA from 1 species